UACGUAGGGGGCUAGCGUUGUCCGGAAUCAUUGGGCGUAAAGCGCGUGUAGGCGGUCCGGUAAGUCCGCUGUGAAAGUCGAGGGCUCAACCCUCGAAUGCCGGUGGAUACUGUCGGGCUUGAGUACGGGAGAGGCGAGUGGAAUUCCUGGUGUAGCGGUGAAAUGCGUAGAUAUCUGGAGGAACACCGGUGGCGAAGGCGGCAUCCUGGACCAACACUGACGCUGAGGAGCGAAAGCCAGGGGAGCAAACGGG
rnacentral:rRNA from 1 species